ACUUACAACAAUAAUGGUUACGAGAGGAGCAACUACAACAACAAGAACAACAACAAUGGCUACAAACUUGGUAGUGCUAGAUAUGAGACAGGUAAUCAAAACAACAAUGGCUACACCAACAAGUACUACAAUAAUGGCUACAAACUAGCUGGUGAAAGCUAUGAAGCAGGCAAUCAAAAUACUGAGAAUGGCUACGACAACAAUGGCAACACAAACAACUACAACAACAAUGGCUACACCAACAAGUACUACAAUAAUGGCUACAAACUAGCUGGUGAAAGCUAUGAAGCAGGCAGUCAGAAAAGUGAGAAUGGCUACAGCAACAACUACAACAACAACGGCUACACCAACAAGUACUACAAUAAUGGCUACAAGCUACCUGGUGAAAGCUAUGUAGUGGGCAACCAGAAUAGUGAGAAUGGCUACACCAACACCUACAACAACAAUGGCAACACAAACAACUACAACAACGAAGGCUACACCAACAAGUACUACAAUAAUGGCUACAAACUAGCUGGUGAAAGCCAUGAAGCAGGGAAUCAGAAUAGUGAGAAUGGUUACAGCAACAAUGGCAACGCAAACAACUACAACAACAAAGGCUACACCAACAAGUACUACAAUAAUGGCUACAAACUAGCUGGUGAAAGCUAUGAAGCAGGCAAUCAGAAUAGUGACAAUGGCUACACCCGCUAUGAGACUGAGAGACAAGGGAUGAGUGACACCAGAUAUAUGGAGGGUGGAAAGUACUAUUACAACGCGAAGAAUGAGA
rnacentral:lncRNA from 1 species